UCCGAAUUGGUGUAGGGGUUAACAUUGCCGCCUCUCACGAAAUUUAGGUUUACAUAAACCCAAUGGGUGCGCGGCAGCCCGGGGUUCGAUUCCCCGAUUCGGAA